rnacentral:lncRNA from 1 species
AUGGCCUCCAUGGGGGGGGGGGGGGUGGGGGGGGGGGGGGGGGGGGUUGGCCGCCAUCCAUCCCCCCAUCAAUCAAUCAACCCCCAUCAAUCAAUCAACCCCCAUCAAUCGAUCAACCCCCGUCAAUCAAUCAACUCCUCCCCCCAUUCCAUUGGUGGGAGGGUCCUUCUCUCACAGCCCCAAUCCCAUUGGUGGGAGGUCAAUCAAUCAACCCCUUGUGGGAGGGUCCUUCUCACCCCCCCCCAACCCCAUUGGUGGUCAAUCCAUCAAUCAAUCAACCCCCCCCAUUCCAUUGGUGGAGGGUCCUUCUCUCACAAGCCCAAUCCCAUUGGUAGGUCAAUCCAUCAUCAAUCAAUCCCCACCUACUCCAUUAGGUGGAGGGUCCUUCUCGUCACAGCCCCAACCCAUUGGUGGGAGUCAACUCAAUCAACCCGCUUGUUGGAGAGUUCCUUUCUCACCCCCCCCCAACCCCAUUGGUGGUCAAUCAUCAAAUCACCCCAUCCCCCGAUCCCAUUGCGCUGGGGGGGGGCAUGCUCUCACAGCUUGAGCUCAUUGCCACCUUGAGGCGAUGGUUCUUGAAGUGCCAUGGAUGGUGCCGCGAUCGUUUGGAACCGGACCUCCGUUCAACGGAGAGCCGGGGCAGUUUGCAAACCUCCAUCUCCCAUUGACGAAGGAGUCGUUGGCGCGGGCUCCAUAGUGCACACAGCAGACGAAGCGCUCCUGCAGCUCACAGCGGCAGCUGUUGGCGGUCCAGCACUUUGCCGGAUCUCCGCUCACAUCUCCCCAGGUUCCAGCUGACGUUGUUUUCAUGCUCCGACGUGAAGCGUAAGGAGCAGGAGCUUGGCGUCCCGGGCGGUCGUCCUGUCCAGCCCACGGCCGGGCUGGAGGGAAAUGGGGGGUGAGAUGGGGGGAUAUUGGGGAUAUGGGGUAUGGGGGGGAUAUGGGGGCAAGUGGUGAUGGGGCGUAUGGUGGGAUUGGGGAUAACGGGGAGGGGGUAACAAGGUUAUGGGGGGUGAUGGGGUGAUGGGGGGGUGAUGGGGA